AUCACAUAGACAAACAUAAUUCAUUAGCAUUCCACAAUGUAAGAUCCACAUAUCACAUAAACACAAAAAACGCUACAUUAGAUCACUGACUUGCCACACAUCUUAUUGUGCUUUACACAUAUUUGCUAACACUUUACAAAGUUGUUCUUAAAAGAACUAAUUCUUCAUGUGAUUCACAAAAGCCUUCACAAAACCACUUCCAAGCUUUUCGUGUCCUAUUGUUUUAAGCCAGAAGCAUUCAUUGUCCAGUACAUC
rnacentral:lncRNA from 7 species